GAGAGAGAAAGAGAGAGAGAGAGACAGACAGAGAGGAGAAGGAGAACUAGACAGAAAGAGGCAGACGAGGAAAAAAGACUUUCUUUUUCUUUCUAGAGGAAUUCUGCCCAGACCCAGCAGCAGUUGGUAGCAAGCAAGCUUUCUCCUGGGUGUCUCCUGGAAAAGUUGCAAAAUUGCUCUUCACCUGUAAGAACAUGCUCUUUAUCUUCCAGUCUCUUCUUGUCAAUUUGGAAACUGCAGACAGCCUGGCUCAGAAGAGAAGACUUGGGGUUCAGAGCCGCCCCCCCUCUCCUGCAGUGGAAAUGGACUUCCCUCGGGUCGAGUACAGAACUUCCCACACAGGCGGGUGGGUGAGUGCCCUUGGCGUUGCCCUCAUUGAUCCGGCUGGACACCAGAAACAGAUAAUCUGGUGAGCAGCUGAGGCACAGACUACCUGGGCUCCCACUUAGAGGCUGAUAUAGGACUGAAGAAGCAGCUGCUCUGUCAAACCUAGAGAUCUUGAACCUGAGGGCUGUGGACAUAUUCUUUGUAUCUUCCCUGCAGCUUGGCACCAGCAUCCAAAACCAUUCCUGUCACAUGCAGACAUUCUGUUGAAAAAGUAAAUGCACGGAUGGUGUCCUGGAAGCACUCUAUGAUUAUCCCUGGUAAUUUGCUUGUCCUAAGAUCAAUGCUUAAACAACAGCACAUGAACUAGAUAACAACUCCACAGUUAUUUGUAUCAGGCAUCAGAAAAAUCUUUCUGGGAGCCUUGAAACGAGGACACCACUAUCUUAGGACUUCUAAAAGUGAAGACCAAACACAAUUUAAAUAAAAAGAUAUGUCAUAAAAGACGUACAUCAACCUCAGUAAUUAGAAUUGGAAUUCAAAGUGAAUCAAUUAAAAAAUUUCACAAAGCCUGCAUGGAAAACUGCACACUGCCCCUUUUUCAAGCUGUCCAACACUUAGGUUGCUUUGUUUCAAGUAGAAAUGGAGUGAAAAUAUGGCAGUGGGAGGAGCUACGGCACAGAAACCCAAGUCAGAAAUUGCUAACUACUGAGUCAAGCUGGUUGAUAAGAAAGCCACAGGUGCUGUACAACUUUCCGUUUAUAACCAUAGGAAGAAAAAAAUUUCAUCUCUUAAACUGAAACCUGAACAUUACUGACUCAUUCAGAACAAUGUGUGAUCUUAACACAUGGCUUCUGUGCGUUUUAUAAACACACAAUUUCACAACUGAAAGCUUUCGGGGAUUCCAUUUGCUAUGCUGAGAGACUCCCUGGAUGGAGGGGUCCUGGAAAUGCCUGAGGAACUCCAAGCAAACAGGAAGUGUGGGCAGCGCUGCACCGUGAAGAAUUGCAAAGCACAGUGCCGCGUCUAUCACAGCCGCCCACCUGGGCACCACCCAACUUUGCACGAUCUGUUUGCUCAUGUUGCAAACACAAACAAAAUCGUGUAUAUUGUGUAGUCCACAGUUGUUCCUGGUCACUCUCUGGGUUACUAAGCCAAAUUGCAUAAUGUUUAUAUUUUGAAAUCACAAACUUGUACCUCGGAAGGGCUCAUAGAGCAUUUUAAUAAAUGGUCAGAGUAACGCCCGUAAAGGAAGUAGAGGAAGGAAUUGAUGGGCUCCUGACCAUCAAAGAAGAUAGGAGACACACUUGAAGGCAGCUCUCCCAGCCAGAAUAGAUUUACCUGAAGCUAAUGGGGCUGCACAUGUUGUAACCGCUUUAGAACACCCAGCCUGCACGGGGCCUUCCACGGGCAAGAGAGGGAGGAGCUAUUUUUUGAAAGUGCCUGUUGUUUUUUCCUAAAGAGGCUCCCAAAUGUAUGUGCUUCAGCCCUCCAAAACUUGAAUCCACGCAGCCUCUGCUUUCUCUAGCCUUUCUCUGAAAUUAUGGAAAAUUCUUUUAUUAACCAUUUCAUAUAGAAAAACACUGGCAGAUACAGCGAUUUUGGGGGGCACCUUUAUGGGGCCUAGCACAGAGCCCUCCACAUUGCUGGGCUCAGUGUUCAUUUGAUAUAAAACAUUAAAUAAGUAAAAACAAAGCAUAUGGCUCGUGUGUGUGUGUGUGUGUGUGUGUGUGUGUGUCUGAUACUCAUCUUGAAUGUUUGGCUUUAGAUGUUCAAGGUUUACCAAAAAAUGAAAACAUCAGUUUUACUCCAAAGACCUGUGUGGGAGUAAAUGAACGUUUAUCUAUGAGGACCAAUGAAAAGGGACUGAGGGAGAGCCCUGAGCUUUUGUUGGAAGACUCUGGGCAAGGGCUAAUAAAAUAAUUUCCUAUCUGUUCUUGUUAUUUAGCAUACAUACCUUUAUAUUUUGUUUUAUUCAUUAGCAAACUGAAAAUCUGUGACUUUUAGAGUGAGCUAUUAUAUAUUUCUACUCAAAUACCGCUUCAAUUAAAAUAGAUUUGCACAAACUACUUUGAAUGUGUUGCAAAGCUCAUUGCACAAAGUUGACUAAGUGGAGUCAGAAGUGAAAAAUUUUAAAUGGCAAUAGCGCAUGCGCGCGCGCGCACACGCGCGCGCACACACACACACACGCGCGCGCGCGCGCGCGCGCGCGCUCCUGGUGUCUGGAUUCUGAAAUUCAAUCUGAGAAGAAAUGAGUCUGCUGCGAGAAGGCCUAUAGUUCACUUCAAGUUAAACAGUCAAUCCAAGGGCUUUCAGGUGAGGCCUCUAAGUGAUGUGUGGAAAAUUCUCAAAAUAAUCAAUUUCUUACAGAUGGUCUGUAAAUGUCCUCAUUACAUGAAGCAAGCUGCAGUGUCUACCAGCCCCUACGGUCUGUGCCCAACGCCCAUUUGUGCCCCUCUGAGUGGCUCACUUUUUAAGGCCUUAACAAUAAAACCUGACCCUCCAG
rnacentral:lncRNA from 1 species